rnacentral:lncRNA from 1 species
UGUGGACAAUUUAUUUGCAUUCUAGAGGGCUUACCUGGUGGUCGAGGCAGAGGUCAUGGGGGUCAUGGCAGGGGAAGGGCUAGAGGUGUGUCAUGAUGCUUCAACCUGCCUUGUCAGACCUAAAUCUUUGCUCAUCUUUUGUAAUGUAAGGCAUGACGUUUUAGGAUCCAUAUCUGGGAAGUGGUUCUCUGGCCAUGGAUUACAGCAAUGGAGGAAGGGACAACAGGGGACGUAGAUAUGGCAUUGGUGGUUGGGGCCGCGGUAGAGGUAAUGGCUUCCAAGGCCAUGGCAAAGGCUAUGGUUACUGGACUGACUACCAUCAGCCCAAUAAAUAUAAUG